rnacentral:rRNA from 2 species
UGGGGAAUAUUGGGCAAUGGGGGAAACCCUGACCCAGCAACGCCGCGUGAGGGAAGAAGGUUUUCGGAUUGUAAACCUCUGUCCUUGGUGACGAAACAAAUGACGGUAGCCAAGGAGGAAGCCCCGGCUAACUACGUGCCAGCAGCCGCGGUAAUACGUAGGGGGCAAGCGUUGUCCGGAAUGACUGGGCGUAAAGGGCGUGUAGGCGGCUGAUUAAGUCUGGAGUGAAAGUCCUGCUUUCAAGGUGGGAAUUGCUUUGGAGACUGGUUGGCUUGAGUGCGGAAGAGGUAAGUGGAAUUCCCAGUGUAGCGGUGAAAUGCGUAGAUAUUGGGAGGAACACCAGUGGCGAAGGCGACUUUCUGGACGGUGUCUGACGCUGAGGCGCGAAAGCCAGGGGAGCGAACGGG